ensembl:snRNA U1 U1 spliceosomal RNA
AUACUUACCUGGCAGGAGAGACACCAUGUUUGUGAAGGUGAUUUUCCCAGGGCGAGGUUUAUUCAUUGCACUCUGGAUGUGCUGACCCCUACGAUUUCCCCAAAUGUGGGAAACUCCACUGCAUAAUUUGUGGUAGUGGGGGACUGCAUUCACACUCUUCCCUG